UAGAAAUAUGUCAAAAGUAGAUUGUGGUUAUGGGGAAAAGACCGUUAGUUUACAGUGUGCUGCUCGGGCUUAUUGAAAUCAUAUCUUGGUGUCACGCUCAGUUAGAGCCCGGGUGUUAGCAGCCACUUGUGUUGAACAGGGGGAGUUGCUGAUGACUACAGGAGCUGUGAAAGUGGUAGAAGUCGAUGCCGAUCUUCUAUUACUUGGAGAAAUGAAACAGCCAGGAGCCUUUUUGGAACAUUCAAGGAUAGGCAGCCAGCUGUAAAUGACCCAGAAACCAAAGGAGCCCACGGUGGUGGAAGAGAAAUCGAGGCUGGAGUGAGGCUAUCAGAGUGUGUCUCCAUUUCAGCAGCCCUUAUUCAUGUCUACCCAAUUUCUGGUUCAUCUCUCCAUCCUUGAUGCUGAAUGUGCCAUCCCAUUCUCAGUUUACACGAUGACCUCAUCAGAAGCCUUCAUCCCAUGCAGCUGCCAUCUUGUUUGGUCUUGGAUAGGGGAUGAAUAGAUAAGAUGGC